rnacentral:rRNA from 1 species
GGGUCUUGUACACACCGUAACGCGAAGAACCUUACCUACCCUUGACAUGCCAGGAACUUACCAGAGAUGGUUUGGUGCUCGAAAGAGAGCCUGGACACAGGUGCUGCAUGGCUGUCGUCAGCUCGUGUCGUGAGAUGUUGGGUUAAGUCCCGCAACGAGCGCAACCCUUGUCAUUAGUUGCUACGCAAGAGCACUCUAAUGAGACCGCCGGUGACAAACCGGAGGAAGGUGGGGAUGACGUCAAGUCCUCAUGGCCCUUAUGGGUAGGGCUACACACGUCAUACAAUGGGCGGUACAGAGGGUUGCCAACCCGCGAGGGGGAGCCAAUCCCUUAAAACCGCUCGUAGUCCGGAUUGUAGUCUGCAACUCGACUGCAUGAAGUUGGAAUCGCUAGUAAUCGCGUAACAGCAUGACGCGGUGAAUACGUUCCCGGGUCUUGUACACACCG